AUGAACCAAUUCAUUCUCGCUGCUUUCCUUCUGGCUGCCAUCUUUGCGGUGUCUGAAGCCGCAGUUGCUAAGAAGAAGGUUAAGGAAGGAGAGUCGCUUGUCAUCGACUCUAUGAACAGAUUGCAUCGAAUUUUGUGAAUCGAGUCGUAGGCACCCAAAACUUUUCUUGAGCUAUUCCUAGAACUACGACAGUUGCCACAGUGUUCAAUAUCAUCUUUGAAAACGUUUAUAAACAAGAAAAUGACAAGUUUUCUCCUACUUGCCAUCAUUGGCACUGUUCUUGUAGGAGUGGCUCAUGGAGCACCUGUUGCGUCAAAAGACACCAAUUGUACUGAAGGAUCGCUUGAUGCAAUUUUAUGUCUCCUGAAUCUGCAAAAAUUCGCCGAACGAUCUCACGAGCUUGAUAUGAAUGACAAAGACGAGUUGAAGGGCUUCAAGGAUACUUGCGAUUCUCUGCGAAGCUGUCUGGCCAAUCUCAAAUGCUCACCAGUGCCAAAGGAUCAGAAAGAAGCAGCGCUCAGGAGUAUAGAAAAGUAUUGCGAUGCUGUUGUGUACGUAUACAGUGAUUUUGCACAGUGCAGGGAAAAAUUGAACGCAAAAAAAUCAAAGUGUUUUGAUGACUGGGACCCAAUUCCAAAUGUUCAUAAAGAAAACGACCCGAAAAAAGUUGAGCAAUUGAAAAAGGACACUUGCAAAAAUUAUUUCGGAAAGGAUGACUGCUUGAAGAAAGAGGUUAUUGAAAUAUGCAGUCAACAGGAAUGGGAUAAGCUCCGCGAGCACUUCAUCGGUUUUUCUGGAGCACUUGUGAGCGAAUGCGACUUCAGCAGACUUAGAUAA